UCCUACUCCCCUCACUCCACCCUUCCAGCUUGUUGCUAUCUCUACCAGUCGGGGUAAUCCACUUCUCCCUAUGUGUCUGAUGCCUGCUCCACUCAGCAGUGCCCAGGAUUAUCUCCCCACAGCCCCCACGGCCCAGUGCCACAGCUAAAGGGAAACCCAGCACGCAAACUGCUAAGGCUGGUUAGCUAGGUCCCACCAAGUGAGCCAAAGCUGGCACGGCUGUUUGUGUUUUACUGUCUGUGCAGAUGGGAUCGUGAAGACGGAGAAAAAAAGAGGGCCCACGCUGAAGCACACAUGCAGUGAUAUGCCACAGUAUGUUUUCUUUGCGGUUGUGAUUGACAAGCGGCUGAUGACGUUAUUUAGAAUAAAGUGUUUGCAGCUGAGCAAAUCGACUGCAACAAAGUCUUCCACCAAAAAUGCUCCAAAGUCUCUCAUGGCUUCUCCAGCCCCGCAGACAUCUGAUCUCAUAAGCGAUAUAUCUGCUGUUAUAGCCACUGGCACCUCCUUGCAUCCGGCCACCAGCUCUGCCAACGCUGGUUAUUUCUGCUGGGAGCUUGCAGAAACGUGACAGGCGCAGCAGCACCGCAAACCGAAGGCCGCCAGCCCCAAGCUCUGGGCUAGGUGUGCGUCGAGAUUAUCACCGAACCUGCGGGCUUCACCUGUUCAACCCUGCUGCCGCUCUGUCUCGCUCAACAUGUUGCCAUCAUAGUUUCGCCGGUCACAUACAUUCUUCUCAUCUCCUCUACUCCGGGCUUGGUUACAGAAAAGAACAGCCUCAGUCACACCUGUACGACACCAUCCAUCACAGCUGUAUGUUGUGUAUCCUCUCCAGGCAGCUUGUGUCUUGUAGCUGCUAUCUGUAUUUGGAAUAGGUAGAUACAGGGCAUGAUUUAGCCAGGAAGGAGUGGGAGAAUAUUAAAACCUAAAAGAUGAGAAAUGAUUGCACCUCUGUAAUGUUUCAAGAAUUGCAUUGUAAUUGCAGAAUCAUGCAAACAUACACACAAAAACUGAGUAGAGUAAUAAAGCAUAAAAACAGGAAUGGAGACUAACGUACCAUUCAGACAA